rnacentral:lncRNA from 10 species
CAGGAGAACGGUGUGAACCCGGGAAGCGGAGGUUGCAGUGAGCUGAGACCACGCCACUGCCCUUAUUGGUGUAUAAGAAUGCUUGUGAUUUUUGCACAUUGAUUUUGUAUCCUGAGACUUUGCUGAAGUUGCUUAUCAGCUUAAGGAGAUUUUGGAUUGCAUAUGUUGAACCAGCCUUGCAUCCCAGGGAUGAAGCCCCCUUGAUGAUGCUGGCCUCAUAAAAUGAGUUAGGGAGGAUUCCCUCUUUUUCUAUUAAUUGGAAUAGUUUCAGAAGGAAUUGUACCAGCUCCUCUUUGUACCUCUGGUAGAAUUCGGCUGUGAAUCCAUCUGGUCCUGGACUUUUUUUGGUUGGUAGGCUAUUAAUUAUUGCCUCAAUUUCAGAGCCUGUUAUUGGUCUAUUCAGAGAUUCAACUUCUUCCUGGCUUAUUCU